UGGGGAAUCUUCCGCAAUGGACGAAAGUCUGACGGAGCAACGCCGCGUGAGUGAAGAAGGUUUUCGGAUCGUAAAACUCUGUCUUUUGGGGCGAACGUGAGUAUGGUGAACAAUCAUAGUCAGUGACGGUACCAAAGGAGGAAGCCACGGCUAACUACGUGCCAGCAGCCGCGGUAAUACGUAGGUGGCAAGCGUUGUCCGGAAUUAUUGGGCGUAAAGAGCGCGUAGGCGGGAUAGUCAGUCUGUUGUAAAGUGCGGGGCUCAACCCCGUGAUGGCAAUGGAAACAGCUAUUCUUGAGUGCAGGAGAGGAAAGGUGGAAUUCCCAGUGUAGCGGUGAAAUGCGUAGAUAUUGGGAGGAACACCAGUGGCGAAGGCGACUUUCUGGACUGUGUCUGACGCUGAGGCGCGAAAGCCAGGGGGAGCGAACGGGAUUAGAUACCCCGGUAGUCCUGGCCGUAAACCGAUGGGUACUAGGUGUGGGAGGUAUCGACCCCCUUCCGUGCCGGAGUUAACGCAAUAAGUACCCCGCCUGGGGAGUACGGUCGCAAGACUGAAACUUAAAUGAA
rnacentral:rRNA from 1 species